rnacentral:rRNA from 1 species
GAUAUGCUCAGGAUGAACGCUAGCGACAGGCCUAACACAUGCAAGUCGAGGGGCAGCGGAGAGGUAGCAAUACCUUUGCCGGCGACCGGCGCACGGGUGAGUAACACGUAUGCAAUCCACCUGUAACAGGGGGAUAACCCGGAGAAAUCCGGACUAAUACCCCACAAUAUGGGCGUUCCGCAUGGAGAGCUCAUUAAGGAGAGCAAUUUUGGUUACAGACGAGCAUGCGCUCCAUUAG